UACGAAGGGGGCUAGCGUUGCUCGGAAUCACUGGGCGUAAAGCGCACGUAGGCGGAUUGCUAAGUCAGGGGUGAAAUCCUGGAGCUCAACUCCAGAACUGCCUUUGAUACUGGCGAUCUCGAGUCCGGGAGAGGUGAGUGGAACUGCGAGUGUAGAGGUGAAAUUCGUAGAUAUUCGCAAGAACACCAGUGGCGAAGGCGGCUAACUGGCCCGGUACUGACGCUGAGAUACGAAAGCGUGGGGAGCAAACAGG
rnacentral:rRNA from 1 species